UGAGUAACCUGCCCUUCACUCUGGGAUAACUCCGGGAAACCGGGGCUAAUACUGGAUAUGGCUCGAACAGGCAUCUGUUUCGGGUGGAAAGAUUUACUGGUGGAGGAUGGACUCGCGGCCUAUCAGCUUGUUGGUGAGGUAAUGGCUCACCAAGGCGACGACGGGUAGCCGGCCUGAGAGGGCGAUCGGCCAUACUGGGACUGAGACACGGCCCAGACUCCCGUACGGGAGGCA
rnacentral:rRNA from 1 species